CAACCCACAAAACAGCUGCAUCACGAGUCAGCUCUUCAUCAUCAUCACAUCUGCCUCAGCUGUCCUCCUCAUCAUUCUAAUAAUGGGUGGGGUGUUCAUGUUGCUGUGUUUGAGGAGGAAACGCAGUAGCAAACAGCUGGAUGAUCCUUCAGGUGGCAUCUAUGAGAAUGCUAGGAUACUGUAGGCUGUGCAGCAAAGAGCGAGCCACACCCAAC